CCAGCUCUCUUUGCCUUUUGGCUUAGAUCAAGUGUAGUAUCUGUUCUUUUCAGUUUAAUCUCUGAAAGUGUUCUAAGGAACACAACAUUGAUUAAUCUUAUUUUUGGUCUCCGUGGCUGGACCUCUGUGCUUGCGCAUGUCUGGCUACACAGUGUCAUCGGGCUUACACUACCCCCGAUAGACGCGAACCCCC
rfam:Aspergillus ruber CBS 135680 unplaced genomic scaffold scaffold00012, whole genome shotgun sequence.